AUUGAACGCUGGCGGCAGGCCUAACACAUGCAAGUCGAGCGGAUGAAGGGAGCUUGCUCCUGGAUUCAGCGGCGGACGGGUGAGUAAUGCCUAGGAAUCUGCCUGGUAGUGGGGGAUAACGUCCGGAAACGGGCGCUAAUACCGCAUACGUCCUGAGGGAGAAAGUGGGGGAUCUUCGGACCUCACGCUAUCAGAUGAGCCUAGGUCGGAUUAGCUAGUUGGUGGGGUAAAGGCCUACCAAGGCGACGAUCCGUAACUGGUCUGGGAGGAUGAGCAGUCACACUGGAACUGAGACACGGUCCAGACUCCUACGGGAGGCAGCAGUGGGGAAUAUUGGACAAUGGGCGAAAGCCUGAUCCAGCCAUGCCGCGUGUGUGAAGAAGGUCUUCGGAUUGUAAAGCACUUUAAGUUGGGAGGAAGGGCAGUAAGUUAAUACCUUGCUGUUUUGACGUUACCAACAGAAUAAGCACCGGCUAACUUCGUG
rnacentral:rRNA from 1 species